rnacentral:sRNA from 2 species
GGGACCGUGACGCCAAAUCCCUGCAUUUCGCGGGGACCGGGGAACAGGUAAACCGGGGUGAAUCUCGCCUGCAGCGAGUAGGGUUAGCCUUUCAACCCGAACCCGUCAGCUAACCUCGGCGGCGACAGAAAGGCCAC